rnacentral:lncRNA from 1 species
AUGCUGGAUUACAGCAGCGCCGCCUGCUCUGGCCCCAUGAUGCCCAGCACCACGUGGCACGUCCGGAUGCCCCAGCCUGGAGAGUCACGGUCGCACUCCCUUCCCCCACAGCAGCAAGGGGUCAUGCCCCCGUUGUCCGCAACUGGCCCUGGCGCCGCCCUCCGGGGAGGGGGAGAGACGGCCUCAGCUCCCCCAGGGGUGGGGUCUAGGGCAGGCUUCCGAGGGUUCAGAGGUUCUCGCCUUCUCUGCGUGGAGUGGAUGGAAGGCAGUUCCUUCCGUUUCAGGGGCUUCUUCCUGGCGCUCUUUGCCAAGGCCCUCCCUCGCCCACAGCUCAGGUGGAAAUACUGAGGCGGAUGAGUUCAGGUUGGCCAAGCCGCCAGCCACGGACCCUGGGUGUGCUCGCCCAUCCUGGCCCCGCCCCCUGAGCUCCCUGGUACCCACUGGCUCACUCCUGGGCGCUGUACAAUGAGAGGGGUGUUCCUAGCGGUCGCGAGAGAAAAGGGGUUACGAGGCCUUCCAGUUCCCACGCUCCCUCUGUGGAGUUUGCUUUUGCAGAUUCCGUUCCAGUCUGGUCUCCGGUUCCCUGGCUUAUCCUACGGCUGAGCGGAGUACCCGGGUAAAUAGGUAUCACUCUGCAGACUUCGGGUCAGGUCUG